ACGCAAGGUGAGGGAACUUUUUAAACAUCUCCAUAAAUUUCUCCCAACUCUCAUAAAUUGAUUCUCCUUCUAACUGAGUAAAAUAAGUAAUAUCAUUUCUAAGUUU